AGUGAACGCUGGCGGUAGGCCUAACACAUGCAAGUCGAACGGCAGCACAGUAAGAGCUUGCUCUUACGGGUGGCGAGUGGCGGACGGGUGAGGAAUACUUCGGAAUCUACUUUUUCGUGGGGGAUAACGUUGGGAAACUUACGCUAAUACCGCAUACGACCUACGGGUGAAAGCAGGGGAUCUUCGGACCUUGCGCGAUUGAAUGAGCCGAUGUCGGAUUAGCUAGUUGGCGGGGUAAAGGCCCACCAAGGCGACGAUCCGUAGCUGGUCUGAGAGGAUGAUCAGCCACACUGGAACUGAGACACGGUCCAGACUCCUACGGGAGGCAGCAGUGGGGAAUAUUGGACAAUGGGCGCAAGCCUGAUCCAGCCAUACCGCGUGGGUGAAGAAGGCCUUCGGGUUGUAAAGCCCUUUUGUUGGGAAAGAAAAGCAGCAGGUUAAUACCCCGCUGUUCUGACGGUACCCAAAGAAUAAGCACCGGCUAACUUCGUG
rnacentral:rRNA from 1 species